rnacentral:siRNA from 1 species
AGGGAAUGACAGUUGAAGAGUUGC